AUUGAACGCUGGCGGCAGGCUUAACACAUGCAAGUCGAGCGGAGAUGAGGUGCUUGCGCCUUAUCUUAGCGGCGGACGGGUGAGUAAUGCUUAGGAAUCUGCCUAUUAGUGGGGGACGACAUUCCGAAAGGAAUGCUAAUACCGCAUACGUCCUACGGGAGAAAGCAGGGGAUCUUCGGACCUUGCGCUAAUAGAUGAGCCUAAGUCGGAUUAGCUAGUUGGUGGGGUAAAGGCCUACCAAAGCGACGAUCUGUAGCGGGUCUGAGAGGAUGAUCCGCCACACUGGGACUGGGACACGGCCCAGACUCCUACGGGAGGCAGCAGUGGGGAAUAUUGGACAAUGGGGGGAACCCUGAUCCAGCCAUGCCGCGUGUGUGAAGAAGGCCUUAUGGUUGUAAAGCACUUUAAGCGAGGAGGAGGCUACUGAGACUAAUACUCUUGGAUAGUGGACGUUACUCGCAGAAUAAGCACCGGCUAACUCUGUGCCAGCCGCCGCCGUAA
rnacentral:rRNA from 1 species